rnacentral:misc_RNA from 1 species
AGUCGUAACAAGGUAUCCGUAGGUGAACCUGCGGAUGGAUCAUUAUAGGAUGAUGGAUUGGAUGUGAGUGGUUUUAUUAAUAGUUUGAGCGGUGUUGGUUGGGAAGCGAAGCAGGAAUGCGAAGCAGGAAUGCGAAGCAGGAAUGCGAAGCAGGAUUGCCAAGCAAGACAGCCAACAUUGCCUCACGUUAAACUCUAUAAAUCUAACAAUUACAUAAAACAAAAAACAACUUUUAGCAACGGAUCUCUUGGCUCUC